rnacentral:lncRNA from 1 species
UUUGUCCCUAACUCUGAUGCAUGAGAGGAGAGAGGAGAAUGAAAGGCACCUGACGCUGGAGCGCCCAUAAGACAGAUACGAAGAUAAUUGGCUGUGCUGCAACAAGAGGGGGCUUGCGGAUGAGAGGCUCACCAGGUCCUGCUCCCAUUUGACAGGCCAGUACAGUUUUAUCUACAAACUCUUCUCAUAUGUGUCUGCUGCUACUUAGUUGUACAUACUCACAUUUAUAGUGGGAACACAUUUAGUUGGGUGUAUAUAUUUAUUAGUGCUAGACAAUAAGAGCAGUAGUUUUGUGGGUAAAAAGAAAGGCUUGGCAAUAGACUGACCAGUUGAAAGGGCUGAUUAAGUACCGUAGUAUUGUUGAAUUAAAAGAGCAUUUCCAAAGGUCUAAAUUUUGCUGAAACGUGUGGAUGUGGUUUGUCAUUGCUGCUUGGUAAAAUCACACAGAUUGAUCUUUUACGGGUGUUGAUAAGUUUUAGGCCUCAGGGGAUGCUUCAUGAGAAGCACUAGGGGACAAUCGCGCCCACUCAGAGGACCUGUAAACCCUGAUAGGGGGACAGAACCUGGAUUUUAGGGGUGCCCAGAAGACCUAAAAGGGGGGUGUCAGCUGGUAGUGUCAGGGCCAGAACAAGAGCCAACCAUUGAAGUGAAAGUGAAUGAUAAACCAUUGACAGUUAUGGCAGAUUGCGGAGCUGCUUUCACCUGUGUUGAGAAUAAUUUUAAAGUGGGGAAAAGUUUCAUAAAAAAAAUCCUGAGUACACCCCAUAAUGUCCUCAAUGAGCUGAAUUUUUGAAGCCCAGAAUAGUUUCUGUAGCUCAAAGUUUGUGGGUGGAGAUAGGUGGUGAUGCAGACACAUAUUAACUGUGUGUACAUGCAGGUCUUUUAGACACACACACACGUGCACACACAUUGCCAGACUGUGUGUGUGUGUGUGUGUGUCGUUAAUGAUAGCAUCCUAAACAGCUGUGAGAUUAAAGGCAUUAACUGACCGACUGUUUGAAUGAGAAGCUGCCUCUGGACUUCUUCACAUAGCACGAUUUCCUUAUAACUAUAGUAAGGAAACAUUGAGCUCUGUGAGGAGAGGUGUGCUGAAGUUUGAGUGUGUGAGAGAAGCUUCUGGUGUGUGUGGGUGUGAGAGGAGUGUGUGUAUGGGUGCUGAGCUGUGUGUGUGAGGGCAAAAGAGUCUGUGUGCAGUGAGUGGUGUGUGCACAAAGUUGGGGAAUGGUCUAGCAUAAAUAUAAGUGAUUAACUUAUGAUAAAGUGAUGAAUGAUGUCUUAUUAAAUAUAUAAUGAUAUGAUAUAAGAAAUUAACAUAUAAGGGAAGAGAUACUGUUGCCUUUGUAGUGUUAAAAACAUAUGAGCCCUGUUUUUCUUUGUACAGGGACGUUAAUAGAAUAAGUAACUGCUAUGAGCCUCUCAGGAUAAAGAGGACGUUUGUACACCUAAUAGUAAGAAAUGAGCCCCUUAUUAGAUGAGGAGGACUUUGGAUGGUGAUAACAUCCUCGAUUAAAAUGGCAAUUAAAGAAGUGUACACAAGCACAUUUGUGUUCAUACAGAUACAGGGAAAAAACAGAGUAACAGAGUGGGGUAAAAUAAAAUGAUUUGCUAACUGAUGGGUAUGGUUUUCCUCUGUGUGUGUGUGAAUAUUUAAAGUGAAUGGUCACUUGCUGAUGAUUAUGUUUAGAGGGAAAAUCCCAGUUAAAAAUUGGAAAAAUCCAUGGAGCUUUCUCUCCCGCUUUCUUUCUCUUCUUGCAGGCCUGAGAACAGAAAGAAAGCUAAAAAAUCUAGUUUAACUAUCCUAGAUGUGUGAAAAUUUUAAAUGGUAUACCAUGGUAAAGGGGAAUGGUGUAUAAUAAAUUUAGGUAGUCUUAUGGUAGAAGAAAUCUUUAAUUAGUGGUAGGAAAUGUUGUUUUCAAGUUUAUUGAGUGAAUUGAUUGUAAUAUACUAAACAUUUGAUUUGUUCUUUGUCCCUAACUCUGAUGCAUGAGAGGAGAGAGGAGAAUGAAAGGCACCUGACGCUGGAGCGCCCAUCAGAGAGGCUCACCAGGUCCUGCUCCCAUUUGACAGGCCAGUACAGUUUUAUCUACAAACUCUUCUCCUAUGUGUCUGCUGCUACUUAGUUGUACAUACACACAUUUAUAGUGGGAACACAUUUAGUUGGGUGUAUAUAUUUAUUAGUGCUAGACAAUAAGAGCAGUAGUUUUGUGGGUAAAAAGAAAGGCUUGGCAAUAGACUGACCAGUUGAAAGGGCUGAUUAAGUACCGUAGUAUUGUUGAAUUAAAAGAGCAUAUCCAAGAGGUCUAAAUUUUGCUGAAACGUGUGGAUGUGGUUUGUCAUUGCUGCUCGGUAAAAUCACACAGAUUGAUCUUUUACGGGUGUUGAUAAGUCUUAGGCCUCAGGGGAUGCUUCAUGAGAAGCACUAGGGGACAAUCGCGCCCACUCAGAGGACCUGUAAACCCUGAUAGGGGGACAGAACCUUGAUUUUAGGGGUGCCCAGAAGACCUAAAAGGGGGGUGUCAGCUGGUAGUGUCAGGGCCAGAACAAGAGCCAACCAUUGAGGUGAAAGUGAAUGAUAAACCAUUGACAGUUAUGGCAGAUUGCGGAGCUGCUUUCACCUGUGUUGAGAAUAAUUCUAAAGUGGGGAAAAGUUUCAUAAAAAAAAUCCUGAGUACACCCUAUAAUGUCCUCAAUGAGCUGAAUUUUUGAAGCCCAGAAUAGUUUCUGUAGCUCAAAGUUUGUGGGUGGAGAUAGGUGGUGAUGCAGACACAUAUUAACUGUGUGUACAUGCAGGUAUUUUAGACACAGACACACACACACACACAUUGCCAGACUGUGUGUGUGUGUGUGUGUGUGUGUGUGUGUGUGUGUCGGUAAUGAUUGCAUCCUAAACAGCUGUGAGAUUAAAGGCAUUUACUGACCGACUGUUUGAAUGAGAAGCUGCCUCUGGACUUCUUCACAUAGUACGAUUUCCUAUAACUAUAGUAAGGAAACAUUGAGCUCUGUGAGGAGAGGUGUGCUGAAGUUUGAGUGUGUGAGAGAAGCUUCUGGUGUGUGUGUGAGAGGAGUGUGUGUAUGGGUGCUGAGCUGUGUGUGUGAGGGCAAAGGAGUCUGUGUGCAGUGAGUGGUGUGUGCACAAAGUUGGGGAAUGGUCUAGCAUAAAUAUAAGUGAUUAACUUAUGAUAAAGUGAUGAAUGAUGUCUUAUUAAAUAUAUAAUGAUAUGAUAUAAGAAAUUCACAUAUAAGGGAAGAGAUUCUGUUGCCUUUGUAGUGUUAAAAACAUAUGAGCCCUGUUUUUCUUUGUACAGGGACGUUAAUAGAAUAAGUAACUGCUAUGAGCCUCUCAGGAUAAAGAGGACGUUUGUACACCUAAUAGUAAGAAAUGAGCCCCUUAUUAGAUGAGGAGGACUUUGGAUGGUGAUAACAUCCUCGAUUAAAAUGGCAACUAAAGAAGUGUACACAAGCACAUUAGUGUUCAUACAGAUACAGGGAAAAAACAGAGUAACAGAGUGGGGUAAAAUAAAAUGAUUUGCUAACUGAUGGGUAUGGUUUUCCUCUGUGUGUGUGUGAAUAUUUAAAGUGAAUGGUCACUUGCUGAUGAUUAUGUUUAGAGGGAAAAUCCCAGUUAAAAAUUGGAAAAAUCCAGGGAGCUUUCUCUUCUUACAGGCCUGAGAACAGAAAGAAAGCUAAAAAAUCUAGUUUAACUAUCCUAGAUGUGUGAAAAUGUUAAAUGGUAUACCAUGGUAAAGGGGAAUGGUGUAUAAUAAAUUUAGGUAGUCUUAUGGUAGAAGAAAUCUUUAAUUAGUGGUAGGAAAUGUUGUUUUCAAGUGUAUUGAGUGAAUUGAUUGUAAUAUACUAAACAUUUGAUUUGUUCUUUGUCCCUAACUCUGAUGCAUGAGAGGAGAGAGGAGAAUGAAAGGCACCUGACGCUGGAGCGCCCAUAAGACAGAUGUUGCUGUGCUGCAACAAGAGGGGGCUUGCAGAUGAGAGGCUCACCAGGUCCUGCUCCCAUUUGACAGGCCAGUACAGUUUUAUCUACAAACUCUUCUCCUAUGUGUCUGCUGCUACUUAGUUGUACAUACACACAUUUAUAGUGGGAACACAUUUAGUUGGGUGUAUAUAUUUAUUAGUGCUAGACAAUAAGAGCAGUAGUUUUGUGGGUAAAAAGAAAGGCUUGGCAAUAGACUGACCAGUUGAAAGGGCUGAUUAACUACCGUAGUAUUGUUGAAUUAAAAGAGCAUUUCCAAGAGGUCUUAAUUUUGCUGAAACGUGUGGAUGUGGUUUGUCAUUGCUGCUCGGUAAAAUCACACAGAUUGAUCUUUUACGGGUGUUGAUAAGUCUUAGGCCUCAGGGGAUGCUUCAUGAGAAGCACUAGGGGACAAUCGCGCCCACUCAGAGGACCUGUAAACCCUGAUAGGGGGACAGAACCUUGAUUUUAGGGGUGCCCAGAAGACCUAAAAGGGGGGUGUCAGCUGGUAGUGUCAGGGCCAGAACAAGAGCCAACCAUUGAGGUGAAAGUGAAUGAUAAACCAUUGACAGUUAUGGCAGAUUGCGGAGCUGCUUUCACCUGUGUUGAGAAUAAUUCUAAAGUGGGGAAAAGUUUCAUAAAAAAAAUCCUGAGUACACCCCAUAAUGUCCUCAAUGAGCUGAAUUUUUGAAGCCCAGAAUAGUUUCUGUAGCUCAAAGUUUGUGGGUGGAGAUAGGUGGUGAUGCAGACACAUAUUAACUGUGUGUACAUGCAGGUAUUUUAGACACAGACACACAUGCACACACAUUGCCAGACUGUGUGUGUGUGUGUGUGUGUGUGUGUGUGUGUGUGUGUGUGUGUGUGUGUGUGUGUGUGUGUGUGUGUGUGUGUGUGUGUCGUUAAUGAUCGCAUCCUAAACAGCUGUGAGAUUAAAGGCAUUAACUGACCGACUGUUUGAAUGAGAAGCUGCCUCUGGACUUCCUCACAUAGUACGAUUUCCUUAUAACUAUAGUAAGGAAACAUUGAGCUCUGUGAGGAGAGGUGUGCUGAAGUUUGAGUGUGUGAGAGAAGCUUCUGGUGUGUGUGUGUGUGAGAGGAGUGUGUGUAUGGGUGCUGAGCUGUGUGUGUGAGGGCAAAAGAGUCUGUGUGCAGUGAGUGGUGUGUGCACAAAGUUGGGGAAUGGUCUAGCAUAAAUAUAAGUGAUUAACUUAUGAUAAAGUGAUGAAUGAUGUCUUAUUAAAUAUAUAAUGAUAUGAUAUAAGAAAUUAACAUAUAAGGGAAGAGAUUCUGUUGCCUUUGUAGUGUUAAAAACAUAUGAGCCCUGUUUUUCUUUGUACAGGGACGUUAAUAGAAUAAGUAACUGCUAUGAGCCUCUCAGGAUAAAGAGGACGUUUGUACACCUAAUAGUAAGAAAUGAGCCCCUUAUUAGAUGAGGAGGACUUUGGAUGGUGAUAACAUCCUCGAUUAAAAUGGCAACUAAAGAAGUGUACACAAGCACAUUAGUGUUCAUACAGAUACAGGGAAAAAAUAGAGUGGGGUAAAAUGGAAUGAUUUGCUAACUGAUGGGUAUGGUUUUCUUCUGUGUGUGUAUGUGAAUAUUUAAAGUGAAUGGUCACUUGCUGAUGAUUAUGUUUAGAGGGAAAAUCCCAGUUAAAAAUUGGAAAAAUCCAUGGAGCUUUCUCUUCUUACAGGCCUGAGAACAGAAAGAAAGCUAAAAAAUCUAGUUUAACUAUCCUAGAUGUGUGAAAAUUUUAAAUGGUAUACCAUGGUAAAGGGGAAUGGUGUAUAAUAAAUUUAGGUAGUCUUAUGGUAGAAGAAAUCUUUAAUUAGUGGUAGGAAAUGUUGUUUUCAAGUGUAUUGAGUGAAUUGAUUGUAAUAUACUAAACAUUUGAUUUGUUCUUUGUCCCUAACUCUGAUGCAUGAGAGGAGAGAGGAGAAUGAAAGGCACCUGACGCUGGAGCGCCCAUAAGACAGAUACGAAGAUAAAUGGCUGUGCUGCAACAAGAGGGGGCUUGCGGAUGAGAGGCUCACCAGGUCCUGCUCCCAUUUGACAGGCCAGUACAGUUUUAUCUACAAACUCUUCUCCUAUGUGUCUGCUGCUACUUAGUUGUACAUACACACAUUUAUAGUGGGAACACAUUUAGUUGGGUGUAUAUAUUUAUUUGUGCUAGACAAUAAGAGCAGUAGUUUUGUGGGUAAAAAGAAAGGCUUGGCAAUAGACUGACCAGUUGAAAGGGCUGAUUAAGUACCGUAGUAUUGUUGAAUCAAAAGAGCAUUUCCAAAGGUCUAAAUUUUGCUGAAACGUGUGGAUGUGGUUUGUCAUUGCUGCUCGGUAAAAUCACACAGAUUGAUCUUUUACGGGUGUUGAUAAGUUUUAGGCCUCAGGGGAGGCUUCAUGAGAAGCACUAGGGGACAAUCGCGCCCACUCAGAGGCCCUGUAAACCCUGAUAGGGGGACAGAACCUGGAUUUUAGGGGUGCCCAGAAGACCUAAAAGGGGGGUGUCAGCUGGUAGUGUCAGGGCCAGAACAAGAGCCAACCAUUGAGGUGAAAGUGAAUGAUAAACCAUUGACAGUUAUGGCAGAUUGCGGAGCUGCUUUCACCUGUGUUGAGAAUAAUUUUAAAGUGGGGAAAAGUUUAAUAAAAAAAAUCCUGAGUACACCCCAUAAUGUCCUCAAUGAGCUGAAUUUUUGAAGCCCAGAAUAGUUUCUGUAGCUCAAAGUUUGUGGGUGGAGAUAGGUGGUGAUGCAGACACAUAUUAACUGUGUGUACAUGCAGGUCUUUUAGACAGUGUGUGUAUGGGUGCUGAGCUGUGUGUGUGAGGGCAAAAGAGUCUGUGUGCAGUGAGUGGUGUGUGCACAAAGUUGGGGAAUGGUCUAGCAUAAAUAUAAGUGAUUAACUUAUGAUAAAGUGAUGAAUGAUGUCUUAUUAAAUAUAUAAUGAUAUGAUAUAAGAAAUUCACAUAUAAGGGAAGAGAUACUGUUGCCUUUGUAGUGUUAAAAACAUAUGAGCCCUGUUUUUCUUUGUACAGGGACGUUAAUAGAAUAAGUAACUGCUAUGAGCCUCUCAGGAUAAAGAGGACGUUUGUACACCUAAUAGUAAGAAAUGAGCCCCUUAUUAGAUGAGGAGGACUUUGGAUGGUGAUAACAUCCUCGAUUAAAAUGGCAACUAAAGAAGUGUACACAAGCACAUUUGUGUUCAUACAGAUACAGGGAAAAAACAGAGUGGGGUAAAAUGAAAUGAUUUGCUAACUGAUGGGUAUGGUUUUCCUCUGUGUGUGUGUGAAUAUUUAAAGUGAAUGGUCACUUGCUGAUGAUUAUGUUUAGAGGGAAAAUCCCAGUUAAAAAUUGGAAAAAUCCAGGGAGCUUUCUCUUCUUACAGGCCUGAGAACAGAAAGAAAGCUAAAAAAUCUAGUUUAACUAUCCUAGAUGUGUGAAAAUUUUAAAUGGUAUACCAUGGUAAAGGGGAAUGGUGUAUAAUAAAUUUAGGUAGUCUUAUGGUAGAAGAAAUCUUUAAUUAGUGGUAGGAAAUGUUGUUUUCAAGUGUAUUGAGUGAAUUGAUUGUAAUAUACUAAACAUUUGAUUUGUUCUUUGUCCCUAACUCUGAUGCAUGAGAGGAGAGAGGAGAAUGAAAGGCACCUGACGCUGGAGCGCCCAUAAGACAGAUGUUGCUGUGCUGCAACAAGAGGGGGCUUGCGGAUGAGAGGCUCACCAGGUCCUGCUCCCAUUUGACAGGCCAGUACAGUUUUAUCUACAAACUCUUCUCCUAUGUGUCUGCUGCUACUUAGUUGUACAUACACACAUUUAUA